rnacentral:lncRNA from 1 species
GAACCUCACAGCCUUAUCCUUGUCCCCAUGAGGGCAGGGCUCAUGACAACAGGCCGCCCUCAGAUGUCCUGCUCAGGUUGUCGGGAAAGGGACACAUUUCAUCUUUGUCCUCCAAAGUCAACCGUAUAUAUCCAGGACCGUGGAGAAGAAAAAGCCACAGGUCUCGGCAUUGCCUGGCACUCAGGAUGUUCUGGAUCCCCUUUGAAGAAGAAGGGGGAAGCAGGUAUUCAUCUUCUUCUGCUUUUCAACUAGGGAUGUAAUAUGACCAGCUACCUCAUACCUCCCCCGCCAUGAUGGACUGCAUCCCUCAAACUGUGAGCCAGAAUAAACCAACCAACGGCAUCUGUCAGCUUUGUCUCGGCAAAGAGAAGAGUUAACUAGUUUGGUGGGUAGACAACCCAGUGGAGCAGCUGCACAUCGUAGGACACAGGGGGCAUGUCGAGCAGCAGGUCCAGCCGGGUGGGCUUGCAGUAAUCCAGCCCCUGGAGUUCCUGCUUCAGAGGGUGCAAAGCACAGCACAGGCAGACGAAGACACCACACCCAGCCUUUCCCCUUUCUUCUCCAGCAUUGUCACCCCUCAUAGUCAUGACAUCAAGUGGCCCAAGGGAGGGAGCGCUGAUGCAGAUCUCAGUUCAGCGUAGGAAAUGCAUACACACUCAUCCAGGCUCCACAGCUCAGAGGCCUCUGCAACUCCUUGUCAGCUCUUUACCCUGCCUGGACCUGAGCCAUCAACGAGGCUUUCCACAAGAUCCCCUGGGCUGGAUCCUGGAUUUGUAUGGCUAGGAGACGAAAUGGGAGCAGAGGGGAGGCCUCACCGCAUCUGUCCACUGGACCUCCAGAGGAGAGCUGACAAUACUUUCCCCACCUGUUGCUGCCCAGGCUCGGAUCAGGGUAAACAGUAAAGAGUUUGCACUCCUGGGGCUCUCUCGUGAGCUGUGUUCUCUGCCACCCAAACCUGGAGGGCUGGAAAGAUGGCUCAGUGGAUAAAGGGCCUGCUUCACACGUAUGAUGCUUUU